GAUGAACGCUGGCGGCGUGCCUAAUACAUGCAAGUCGAGCGAAGGGACGAGAAGCUUGCUUCUCUGAUGUUAGCGGCGGACGGGUGAGUAACACGUGGAUAACCUACCUAUAAGACUGGGAUAACUUCGGGAAACCGGAGCUAAUACCGGAUAAUAUUUUGAACCGCAUGGUUCAAAAGUGAAAGACGGUCUUGCUGUCACUUAUAGAUGGAUCCGCGCUGCAUUAGCUAGUUGGUAAGGUAACGGCUUACCAAGGCAACGAUGCAUAGCCGACCUGAGAGGGUGAUCGGCCACACUGGAACUGAGACACGGUCCAGACUCCUACGGGAGGCAGCAGUAGGGAAUCUUCCGCAAUGGGCGAAAGCCUGACGGAGCAACGCCGCGUGAGUGAUGAAGGUCUUCGGAUCGUAAAACUCUGUUAUUAGGGAAGAACAUAUGUGUAAGUAACUGUGCACAUCUUGACGGUACCUAAUCAGAAAGCCACGGCUAACUACGUG
rnacentral:rRNA from 1 species